rnacentral:rRNA from 1 species
AUUGAACGCUGGCGGCAGGCCUAACACAUGCAAGUCGAGCGGAUGAAGGGAGCUUGCUCCUGGAUUCAGCGGCGGACGGGUGAGUAAUGCCUAGGAAUCUGCCUGGUCGUGGGGGAUAACGUCCGGAAACGGGCGCUAAUACCGCAUACGUCCUGAGGUAGAAAGUGGGGGAUCUUCGGACCUCACGCUAUCAGAUGAGCCUAGGUCGGAUUAGCUAGUUGGUGGGGUAAAGGCCUACCGAGGCGACGAUCCGUAACUGGUCUGAGAGGAUGAUCAGUCACACUGGAACUGAGACACGGUCCAGACUCCUACGGGAGGCAGCAGUGGGGAAUAUUGGACAAUGGGCGAAAGCCUGAUCCAGCAAUGCCGCGUGUGUGAAGAAGGUCUUCGGAUUGUAAAGCACUGUAAGUUGGGAGGAAGGGAAGUAAGUUAAUACCUUGCUGUUUUGACGGUACCAACAGAAUAAGCACCGGCUAACUUCGUG